UUCAUGAAGGUUGGUGGAAGGAGUCGACAGCAUUCUUAGGCCAAACUUACUACUCAAGGGUAAAAUUUAUGCAAAUGUAUUGACUUUGACUAGCAACGCUUAGAAAACUGUAUAUUUCAUCGAUUCAUGAAGGUUGGUGGAAGGAGUCGACAGCAUUCUUAGGCCAAACUUACUACUCAAGGGUAAAAUUUAUGCAAAUGUAUUGACUUUGAGUAGCAACGCUUAGAAAACUGUAUAUUUCAUCGAUUCAUGAAGGUUGGUGGAAGGAGUCGACAGCAUUCUUAGG